UGUAAAAUUUUUCCAGGAUUUCACAAGAUAUAACUGUAAUAUUUCACAGUUAAUUACAUUAUUACCACUUCACAGGCUUUAACUGUGAUAAUUCACAAUAUAAUACCGUAUUUAGACUUUUACUGUGAAAAUAAUGCAGGCGCGGGGCUUUUACAAGAAACUACUGUGAAUGCCGUCUUUUUUGAGUGGCAACUGCGGCAGCGUCAUCAGAGCGUCAUCAGAGCUCUCUGAUCUACGUGGUCUCAUUCGGUGGAUUCAGACAGCGCAUUUUCUACAUUGACCGACGAUAAAUAAAGUUAUAAGGUGCUUCUUGGGCAUCAACCCAGAGACGGGCACAAAAUCUAAGAGGCAGAGAGGUCACAUGAACCAGCAAGUCUGCACUCUUAUCAGGAAGCUCAUUGACUUCGAAUGGAUGUCAAUCUAAUUGGAUAGAACCCACACUAUGCAGGUGCCAGCUGCGAGGGAAGGAGAGAGACACCUGCGACCCUCUCUAUUCCCACCUUUUUGUCUUUUCUUACAUCUCUCUCCCUCACUCUCUCUUCUCUGUCUCCUUCUUUCUCUUUUGACACACAUUCCUGUUACCCAGUGUCAAUCCCUGUUGCCCAGUGUUUUAUUCAUGUAAUUAAAUUGUAUUUUACUUCUAAAAAAUAAAAGUUAUGUCACUGUUUUUAUCA